rnacentral:lncRNA from 1 species
AGGCCACUUAUCGCUGGCUCUGGCCUUGGCAACCUCCACCCCCGUCCCGGUCCUCUCAGCCUAUCUCUGGAAACCACUCUUUUCACUCCGAAUCUCAACUUGAAGUUUGGGGAAACUUGACGCAGCCAAAGCCCAUCCUCUGCUCUGCACCUGGCAGGAGACUAAUAGUCAGGGAAGAUGGGCAUGUUGUGGGUGGGGGUGGAGAACGGUGUGUCCCUGACCUGCCCUGACAUGCUAACCUGGAUGCGCUGUUGUCUUGGCCUUCAGCGCCACGUAUUUUCCCUCGACAGUAACUUGGCAAGCUUUUCAUGUCACUCUGGCAUCGCUCAGAUUAUCAGCUACCCUUCAGAAAAAGAGCCCUGCGUUUCGAUGGCUAAGGAACUCUGACAGGAAGAGGAGAGGUCCCGACUAGAGGAGGGGGCAGCAUUCAUCUUUUGGCACCGGAGCUGCGGAAGAAGCCCAGGAGCUCAUUCUCGAUGAGCGCGUUGUAGAUAAUCUUCAGAUUGUAAUUCCUCUGCGCGUCCAGUGUCCUAUUCAGCACCACCACUAAGACCUGGGUUUGCGGGUAGAGGAAAAAACCGGCUACAGGGACAGCCCCGAACGCCCGGUCCUCGGCCAGCUGCACUUUCUCCACCGCCACUCGGGAAGCGUGCAGCACUACGUAGCGGGUGGCGUUCCGGCACGCGAUCUCCACGUUGACCUCCCCGGAGAAGGUGAAGUUCUCCAUGAAGGCGGUGAGCAUCAGAUUGUAGUGCAGCGGCUUCAGGUGGCCCGACAGGCGCAGCUGCGUCCACGGCUCCCACGGCUCCCGCUCCUCCUCCGACGGCGGCUGGGCCGACGUGGUCCCCGGACUGGCCACCCCACCCGCCUCGGGCUGCCAGGAGUCCCCGCCUGCGUGGUGGUUGCGCCGGGCCGAUCCAGGGAGGCUCCCGUUGCCGCCGCGCUCCGGAAAGCCUGAGGGGCCACCGUCGGCGCCUGGCGUGGCACUCGCCCCGCACUCGUCGAAGCGCAGGCUGAGCAGCACAGCGAGCAUUGUGACCGCGAGCAAUGCCACGAGGGACACAGCGAAGGCCAGCACAAGCCGCUUGUGUACGGCGAUGUGGCGCUCCGUGGUGCGGGGUCGCACUCCCACUGAGUCUGCCCACGGGUCGGAGAGCCCCCUGCUGCCAGCCCGAAGCGCGGCGUCGUCUUCCCCCAUCGCGGCUGCGAAGGCGGCGGCGUUCGGUCCUCUGGGUGGAAUGUGCUCGCAGCAGCAGUGACGGCGGCCACAGCACGGGAGGCACCCGAGCCAUACACCCUGCAGCUGGAGAGAAAAGGAUGGCCGAGGUGGGAGAGACUAGAGUGAACCAGCAGGAGGAAGUCCCAGGGCCGCGAAGCUACGACGGAGAUCCGUCCUGGAAAAGCCUUCUCCACCCUGGGCACUUUAAGCGGCGGUGGCGGCAAACGGCAGGAGGUUGCAGACCCGACAGCGAGACUCCCUCAUUCCAGUCUUGCUCUGCCCUCCGGAGAUGACAAGUGAGAAAGAAGUGUCCGGCCGGGCCAUCCCCUUCAGAGAAGCAACCACUUCACAAGAAGAUUCUGAAGUUGGCCAUUUUUGAUCCCAGAACAGUUUCUCAUAGAUUAGAAAUAUUGGAGUCUACACAAAAAUCGAUAUUCAUUUACAAGAUCAUCACUAAACUUAUCUUGCAUAACCCUUUGCCUGCUACUGCCAACCUGAGAGGGGAGCUUCUGCUCUGCAGAUGGAUGGACAGCUGCUGAUCUUCACCUCCUGUCUGUUCCCACAAUUCUAAAAGAAUUAGGCCUGAGGAACUUAAUCUUCUGGUGUUCCAUUGUGAACUGACUUUAUUAAAUUUUUUCCAAAGUUCAGUGUUCUUCAGUUCUUUCUCAGAGUACAAAUUGAAGAGACACAGAGCCAGUUCCAAAUGAACUGAAAUUGUUUUGUAAAAAAUUAAUUCAAACAAUAAUGCCAUGGAAAAGCACUUUGAAUUUUUCAAUUCCCAGGCUAUUGAUUCUAAAAAAGAAACAAUUCUAAAUUAUCCACAUGUUCUCAUUUAUUAGUCUAGAGCUCUUGCCCAAAGAAUUAUUUGCCAAGGUAAUAUAUAGAACAUCAGGAUGAUUUACUUGCUUUUCUAAUACCAUUUUGCCCACAAACUCUAUGGAACUGAAAGCAUGUCAGCAGCAAAAGAAGGUCCACUAGCAGCUAUAAAAGAGAGCUUACUAAUGAACAAUAAAUAUCUAAAAGUAAAGGGAAAGGAG